GUGUUCGUAGAAAGGAGAGAUGGUUGGCAUCUCCCCGGACAGGGACGGGAACAGUUAGAAUUAUUACCAACUUUGUAUGUGUAUUGAACUACUAAAUGUAUGU